UACGGAGGGGGCAAGCGUUGUCCGGAAUCAUUGGGCGUAAAGAGCGUGUAGGCGGCCUGGUAAGUCCGCUGUGAAAGUCCAGGGCUCAACCCUGGAAUGCCGCUGGAAACUGUCUGGCUAGAGUCCGGAAGGGGCGAGUGGAAUUCCUGGUGUAGCGGUGAAAUGCGCAGAUAUCAGGAGGAACACCAAUGGCGAAGGCAGCUCGCUGGAACGGUACUGACGCUGAGGCGCGAAAGCGUGGGGAGCGAACAGG
rnacentral:rRNA from 1 species